rnacentral:tRNA from 1 species
GCGGGUAUAGCUCAGUGGUAGAGCCACAGCCUUCCAAGCUGAAGAUGCGGGUUCGAUUCCCGCUACCCGCUCCA